UGACUGGUCUGCUACUCACACAGCGCCGCAGCCUCACUCGGAGGGUCUUCAGCUUUUCCCCCAGGGAGUUCACGUGCUCCUUGAUGUCUGGGCCGUGGUUCUCAGCCUGGGGCAUCACCUCCUCCAGGUAAAACUGGAUCAUCUCCGACAAGGCUUGGCAACCCAGGUAACCCUAGGGUGGGAGCGGGGUGGGGGGGGGGGGGGGGGGGGAGUGGGAGGAAGAGCUGCUGCACUAGCUUGAGAGGACAGCUUUGUCCCCAAGGACCUGUCUUACCCAGCCACCUCCCCCCGGGACUGAGCCCUCUGUAACCCUCCGCGGCUGCCGCUGCUGAUCUGCUGAGUUAAGAUCUUCCCACUUCUGCUUUUCAAAGCCACGCAGGCUUGGAGCAGAGCCUCCCUGCCCUUAGUCACGCUGCAGCCUGCCCACCCACCCAGCCCGGCUCUCACCUUAAAGUCCUCCAGCAGGGACCCGUUCAACAACAUGUUGUCCAGCUGAUCCUUCAUUUGCUAUCCAUGUCAGGUGUGCAGGGGCCGCCUACGUCAACCCUCCGGGGCUCUGUGCUUGUCUUUCUCCCUGCUGCCCACGGCCAGCUGCAGCGUUGAAAGGUCUCUGGGAGUGGGAAGCGUCUCCUAAGGCAGGGCACGGGGAACGCCUUCACCUCCACUCAGACCCUUCUGGAUUUCUCCCAGCCAAGGAAGUAUCGAGCUCCAGAAGAAUCUUACGAAAAGUUUCUGAGCAUAGGAGAGAAUGAGAAAACUGAAGUCCAGAGCGUUUAAAGAACUUGCCUGAGUGGCAGAGUAGGAAGUAGAACUUCGGUCUCUUGCUAAUCAGCUCAUUUCUUUACCCGUAUCACCAAACCAAGAUGGACAACGUGGCUUCAAAAAUUUUUUAAAGGGUGCUUGUGUGUGUGAGACGUUUGUGGAUGGGGGCUUUCCCAGGCUGGUCAGAUUUACCAUCUCAUCUGCUGAUCUCCAAAUGGAAGAUGAGCAGCGCCCGCCACACCCACCAAUGAUCAGAUUCCAGUUGGAGGGCCUGAGUGACUUCUUCCUCUUCCUCCCUGAGAAGAUUGUUUCCAGGAGCAGCUGUAGGACUGAUAGAACUAAUCAAGGAGCAUGGUUUGUUCAUUAUGAGGGCAAGGCUGGGCACAUUCCUAGCGUCCCCGCUGCUGGCUGCAUCCGGCGGGUCCCUGGGUUUUGACUUGAGCUCUCUGCACAUUCACCGGCCCUAUCUCUUGCUGUGCCCACACCCCCCCCCCCCCCCACCCCAGUCCCUCCAUCAGCUCUCUGCCUUCCAAAGCCUUAGUGUGGGUUCCUUCACCAACAGCUUCACCCUUACCAGGUGCUCCCUUCCCCUCCCCCUGCAAAACCUCCAUUUUCUUAACGAUAACUGGCCAAGUGAACACUUAAAAAAAUAGCUUGUUAUUGUAAUUUAUCACUCUCCCAGGAAAACUCAAAUUGUUUUAACUGGUAAUAUUGCAAAUAGACUGUCUCAGUAAACUGGA